rnacentral:rRNA from 1 species
UACGGAGGGGGCUAGCGUUGUUCGGAAUUACUGGGCGUAAAGCGCACGUAGGCGGUCAGGCAAGUCGGGUGUGAAAGCCCUGGGCUCAACCUGGGAAUUGCAUUCGAAACUAUCUGACUCGAGUAUGGGAGAGGGAAGCGGAAUUUCCGGUGUAGCGGUGAAACGCGUAGAUAUCAGGAGGAACACCUGCGGUGUAGACGGCUUACUGGACCAUAACUGACGCUGAGGCACGAAAGCGUGGGUAGCAAACAGG